rnacentral:rRNA from 1 species
UAGGGAAUUUUGCGCAAUGGGCGAAAGCCUGACGCAGCGACGCCGCGUGAGUGAAGAAGGCCUUCGGGUUGUAAAGCUCUGUCAGACGGGACGAAUAAUCGCACGUAAAUAACGUAGCGAGAUGACGGUACCGUCAGAGGAAGCACCGGCUAACUCUGUGCCAGCAGCCGCGGUAAUACAGAGGGUGCAAGCGUUAUUCGGAAUCACUGGGCGUAAAGCGUAUGUAGGCGGGAUAGUUAGUCAGGUGUGAAAUCCCGGAGCUCAACUCCGGAAUUGCAUUUGAAACGGUUAUCCUAGAGUGUGAGAGAGGGAAGUAGAAUUCCAGGUGUAGAGGUGAAAUUCGUAGAUAUCUGGAGGAAUACCUGAGGCGAAGGCGGCUUCCUGGAUCACAACUGACGCUGAGAUACGAGAGCGUGGGUAGCAAACAGG